AUUCUGCAACAAAGAGGCAUUUGAAUUGGCUUGGUGAAUUUGUGGCUCCUCUUUUCUUUUUCCCGUUUUCUUCGAUGCAACAGCGGCUGGUAUAUGUACGACUUAGGCGAAUGAAAAAUGACUAGGCGGAAAUAUUUGAAAGCGAACAGAAAGUGGAGAUCGUGGAUAGGAGAGGAAAAGAGGGCGUUGCAGAGGAGAAAGGUUUACGAAUAAAUAUUCCAUACUGUUUAACUGUACUAUUUGACUGGAAGAAAAAUUCAUGAUCGUCGAUUGUAAAUUGCACGUUUAUAUUUCAUGUUCUUUCCAUAGUUUCUGAUCAACGAGAUCGAAACUUAAUUCAAGAGAUGCGAAGGCACUUUGAGCAAAGUACCGAAGAAACGGAUCAACUAUUUUAUAAACUAUGUAUAAAACGUGAUACGAACAAUGGGAUAAAAGUGAAAUCGCGGAAUGAAUGGAGGACUCUUUCCGGCUGGGGUACGCUAAUCGCCAGUCUCUGAAUCAUCACCGUGCUCGAAGAAGGAGCAAACGUUCCUUGGUCGCCGCUUAAAAAUCGCCGAGACGACGAUGAGACGGUGCGUAAAAGAAGAAAGCGACGGGGCGAGAGAGAGAGAGAGAGAAAGGAAAGCGGCAGAAGGCGAUCUGAAAGAAGGAAAAAGAAAGCGAGCACCAUUCUCGCAAGGCCGUUGCCUCGUUUAACAGUGACGUGGAUUCACCUUCUUCCGCUAAGAUAAAAAGAAACCGAGGGAAAAGUCAGCUAGGUCCGUGUAUGACUGUUAACCGCAACGACGUCCUUUUCUUUUUCAGCGUAAAAAUAAAUACUCGACCGUGCCCGCGCCGAAAAUAACCUGCACUCUUUCUGUCGGAUUAUGCGACUUAUCGCCGCUUCUAAGAAACCGCUUCCAUCCCCUCCAUCGAGCGUAUCACGCGCCCGGUAACCGAGCGAUUCGUGCGCGUUACACCUCAACACGAAGAAGUUUCUCGAGACCGGAAUACAGCAAUCGCUUUAUGGGAAGCGUGGCGCCGCCUCGCGUGCUACGCAUCACGUGACGGCCAGUGGAUAAGCAGCCAUCCCUGCACAUCGAAUCGAUGGUUUUCGAUAUUUUGUUGAUAUUUUAUAUCAAGGUGAAUCGCAAAUGCAACUCGCUAUUACGAGUCAAGAACCAUAACAAAAUAGAUCAUAAUUGAGUUGUCAUAAGAAGAUGAAGGUUAGCGGAUCAUUUAUUAAAUAAUAACGGGAAGAAUUCCAACUAUCCGAUACAGUCUACUCUAACGAUCAACAGACGAGAAUGCGUCUAAAGCCAAAAAUAAAACGUAAUAGAUUAUACGCUGAUCAACUGAAGUCCGUGGAAUUCUUCAGCAGCGUACCAACGAACCUAUUAGCCGAGCAACGGUACAAAUCACGGUUGAAUCCAUCCAGAAGUUCGAUACGAUGCAAGCGUCGCGACGCUACACGUUUCAACGAACGGGGAAACGAAAGGAGAUCGGGUCUCUUUGGAUUCGUCCAGUCGUUCCGUUUGCUUCAAAUGUGCGCACAUUCGACAGAGAAAGAGAGGAAGAAAGAUACACAGUAAGGCUCGUUGCGCGAGGUCGUUGCACCGUGUGUACUAAGUCGUUCUAAGCGCAUGGUCGGUCCUAAGCAACCAGGAGAGUCCGAGAGAAGAGAGCCUCAAUACGCCACCGCAUCGCAAAUAUGCGAGUCCAGUGCUACCUCGCCCUUUAUGCGGCCGUGUUCGUAUGUCAUCGAUACUGUUCGGUUCAUCGUUCAAUUCAUCCCAGGUAUAACUCCUUUCUCUUCGUUUUAUGUGUAUGCGCCGGCCUUUAUCGUCGAUUGCAACAAACAGGCCUUUGUAUACCAAAGGAUUUUUACAAUACAGAGAACUAUGAAGGCACAACUAUGAAGAACUAUGGUUUACGAGGUUAAAGAAAAAAUAUAGAUCAGAAUCGUUACAUUCGCGAACGUAUUAAUGGCCUGAAUACAGGAUAUGGCGAGAAACACACAGUGUUGCCAACAAAAUCAACGAAUUCCGUCCAUUUCAUCCGGCUCGAUUUCCUUCCUUCGUUUAACACGAGACACGCCAGUAAACCGAAUAAAUCACUCGAGUAUCGAGGACAAAGCCAGAGAACGAAUUAAUCCCGCCACUGCGCUAUGAGGGACAUCGAAAUCAGAGGAAAGCUUCAGGGAGAACCGUUGCCGUGUUGGCGCACCGCGCGUGCACGGUCGACGCUCUUUAUCGUUUCGAUCUGACAUUCUCCUAAUGGACCUCUUCUCUUUCUCGGCUCGCGCCCUCUUAACGCCCGUUUCUCUAGAAUUCGUAACGCGAUACGUAGCGCGAAACGCGCCGAUAAGUCGUUUCACAGGGAACAUAAAAAUUACCCAUUUAAUAAUAUUGUCAGAUUUUUACAAUAGACUUUACUCUUUCUAUACUAAUUGUCUUUAUAUAUAUACAAAUUUUUAUAGAAAUUUCUCUUUUCUUUAUUAUUUGAAGUUGCAACGCUAUAGAAAUACUCCAUUGCCGUUACCACAUAAGUCUAAGCUCAUGGGAAGGAAUGUAACAACGAUAGGGUGGGAGCAUAGGCGUCAAAUCUCGCUAAACGUUUAAUCUAUUAUUGGAAGGAUGAGAAUAGGACGUCGUAGCGGAGUGGACGACGCGAUGGACGACGGAGUAUAGAGUCGGCCGAUGCUAAUUUGGCCCAUAUACUAACGUUUCAUAGACCGUUAACUCCGUUGCUGUAACUUAUGAACUGUGAAAUUUUGUGCGCUUUAUCUCGAGCCAGUGAGCCGACCGUGCUUGGCGCAGCAGCAGCUUCCUUGGCCAUUUCGCGGAACACUAAACGCGCCCUCUCGGUGAACCAAUCAGAAAUUCAAUGGCCUGCCCCAUGGUGGCGUUCCGCUGUUUUUCCUUGUACAUGCAUAAUAGCGCUUUUGUGACCGUCCCGCGGUCUUAACACGUAACAAAAUUAAGGAUGCUAGCGAAGAACAGCCGCGUAGAGGGCGUUCACGCGAAUUACCGAGACAUUUGCAUAAAUGGAUUAGCAUAAAUUAAACCGAAUGGAAAAGCGUCGAGGCUGCGUCCGUAAAUUGGCCGCGAUUUGCAUAAACGGAGAAGGCCUUCUCGCGUAACGCGUUCCUCUCUUCCCCUUUCGGUUCGCAGAAAAAUCGUACGGACACGACACGACGAAAGUCGACGAGUGCAGUCGUAAAAAAGGAGCAGCCACUCAAACGGCGUAUAACACUACUACGACGACAACCAGGGCCAUCCUGAGAGCCGACGACGUAAUACGGCGUUUGGGUUGAGACACGUAAUGAAAACAGGCGUCCUCAAACGGUUGAGUGUCGGCCGUUUCGAGCAGCGCAAAAACAGGAGGAGACGCUCUUGCUGGCGACACCAGUUACGACGUCGUGUUUAAGACGGGUUCGUGUAAAUUCACUUCCACUCCGGUAGAGGGGCACCAAACGGUUGCUAUCGUUCGGUAAUACUAAUAUUGACUUAAGGUGAAGAUACACACAAAACAUUUGUUGCAUUAUGAUCCGUGUAUGUAUAUAGCUGUUUAGUUUGAGAAAUCUAGGGGAAAAAGAGGAAUUAGUAAUGUGUACAAGGUCGUUAUUAAUUAUUGACUUUUGAUAUUAGAUCUAAUUAUGUAAAAAGAUCUUUAAGAUAUGCUUAAUAUUUUUUCAGUCAUCAUCUCCUACAAUGUAAUAAUGUUUGAAGAAACUGAAGCAUUUAUAGGAUAAUUAUAGUAGUUUUCACCAAAUUAUAGAAUCUUUAUCUUAUAUUUUUGAUUUAUGUAAUGAUCUUCUAUAUGUGUGGUAUCUAUUAUACGAACAUAUUCUUUGUGCCUUGCAUCUUCCAAUAAUAUGCUACGUUUAUGUAACUAUUAUUAAUUAUUGCGUGGUCCCUUAUAGGUUACUGCAAGGUCAAUAUUAAUUACCGUUUUUAGAUCAAAGAUGGCGUUAUUACACAUUCGAAUGAACCAAGGCAAGUAAUUUUAGUCACAGGAUAAUUUGGUGUAUUUAAAGUUCGAGCAUCAUACGUUGACGAUUCAUUCCUUCUAGCUUUAACUUUCAGCGAAUCUCAUCAAGAAUUCUAGGAAGACUGUUUCUGCCACUAUUCUGAGCCACGUAGUCAGUCUAGGAUAACGAUGAACGCGUGGCGCUUCUAACUGAGGAGUUCGAUGAACCGCGAUGAAUCCUCAACCGGGAUUCAUUUGGGAAAAAUACGACAGGAUAGACUACUGUUAAUCCUAAAAUAUCUAAGGCGUCGACCGUUGACUCGGCCUGUCCAAUGUCGGAAGAUUGGACACGUUACCCCGACUUUUGCUUCUACAAAACCGUUCUUGCCCGCAAAACGUCGUUAAAGCCAGACCGAUGACUAUCUUACGUACGACGAAAGAAGCUUGCUCCAAAUUCUCCACGGUAAAACAUUUACCCUGACUUUAUUCCUCCUGCUAUUCAAUAAACUGAACGAGAAUAUGGACGCCAAGAAAGUUAUAAGAAAACUUGCCAACAAAUCCACACGUGCUUCUUUCCUUUUCCAACUUUUUGCCUGCGCGCGAAAUUCGAAUCGCGAUCAGGGACACGUUUCAGUUUCGGGGACGAUAAACCGUCGACACGCGAGGUGUAACACGCCUCGACCGCGAUAUUAAUUUCGUCUGAGACUAGGUUACAUAAAUUCACGAUAUAAACUCUGCCGUUCGAGAAACGAAUCCACAAACAUAACUCGUAAAUGUGCGCCCUCAUUGGCGUUCUUGUAAAGUUUGUCAUCUAUUUACAUAUUGUUAACAAACACGUUCGCGAGCUUUUUUGCGAGCUUACUAUCCGCGAGAAAAUUGUAGAGUGAUCAUAAAAUGUUUGAAAAUAAUAACCGUCCUGGUAUUCUUCGUACUAAUUUUUUUAUUCUUACUGAUUGUAUUAUAUUCAAUGAAACAAAUCGUUUCUCAGUUGGUAAAUUAACAUAAUUUUAUAAAAAAAUUAUUACAAACACCCCAUACAAUUUUUAAUUUUCUUCUUCAUACUAAAUUCAUAUACUGUUGGAAUUUUAAGUUUAUUAAAUGAAUAUUAUGUUGUAGCAACAAAAUCUACGAUUGUAAUAAUACCAUAAUUCCAUGGUACAACAAUAAGGUGACUAGAAUAAGACGCUACAAAGUCACGCGCAUUCUCAGUAUCGGCCCAAAUUCGUGCUAGCAUCUUAACACAGUUGCACAGUUCUUCACGCGGAACAGGAUAUUUAAACCUGCAUUCGGCCCACUAUCUUUAUAUCCAUCAAACCGCCCUCUAGGCAGUUUUGUAACAACGCUAUGAGUACGUCCUCGCUCGCUAAAAUAAAUAACGUUCUCCACUGGCGACGGAUAAAAAAGGAGUAGAAAAAGAAACGACGCGAUAGCCGGGUGAGUGAACGACAAACACAUGCCACUUUCUUUUCUUGCUUUUUCCACUUUUCUCCAUCUCGUUUCUUUUCCAUGAAUCUCGCGGCGUUACACUUACUUCCUGUCCCCCCUAUUUCGCGAUCCGCCACUUGUUCUCUUCUCCUCCCUCUUGCAACAUUCGUUCAAACUCUGAUUCUUUCUCGCUCUGUUACAUAGGCGCUCUUACUCAUCUCCAUCUCGAGUUUCACAUCACCUUUAGCAUCGUAUACGGUCUCACGUCACGUGACAUUGCGAUGCACCGAGCAGCAUCGAGGUUAUUUUAUCUGAACGCGAACGUGCUUGUCUUGGUCGUGUGAUUUCUAAUGUUUCAUUGCCGCACUAAACAAUGCCAUUGUUUCAGAAUGAAAACAAAGCCCAUAAAAUUUCCAGAAAGGCAAAUCGAAUAAAGUUAACCGCACAAGCAUUUAGGUGUUGUUAGAAUCGACCUUAAGGCAGAUUCUCAGUUUUACUGUCGUUUUUAAUGCCCAGCGUUAUGCCCAGCUACGAGAUGAUUUUUUGCCUGAAUUUUAAUUAACGAAGAAAGGUUAAUUCAUGGUAAUAGGUUUUUAACACGAUGACAACCGAUAUUAAGCAGCGUUUAGAAGUGGUUCAUGGUGCCAAAUCAGUAGACCACUACGCGACCGUCUUUAAAAUGAAAAUUUAUGCACAACGAGGAACAUGCGGGUAGUCUGGGAUACCUGCUAAAGAUAGAUUUAGCUUUUUUGCUCUUCUUUGCUUCGCGACAGAUGUUCGUAGAAGAUCUAUAAGGUCAGUUCGCACAUAACGUGUGACGUCCGAGUUCGAAAAUCAGGCGAUCGCUUUAGUACACAAAUCUGACGAACUCUAAAUCCCCAAACAUAGUCUAUACGAUAAUUGAAUUAUCACCAAGUUAGGUGUGAUCUCAUUAACUCAGAAAUGUGAAAUUGGAUUUGAAGUCGCGAGCCGAGUAAAAAAUCACAAAUGUAUUGACGAACAGAUGAUUUAACAGAUGUUGUGAAAAAUAAAGAAGCGACUGAGAUAUCAAUCUAUAUAUAGCUUAUCAUACAAUAAAAUUGCAACCUAACCUAACAUAAAUCGCCAUCAUGCGACGAGAAACUAAAUGAACCGGUAACCACGGGUGCAAAGGGAAAAGCUAGGAAAAAUGAAACAGAACGAUUGGAUAACGAUCGGAUUGAGAUUUUUCGUGGGCGAAGUCAAACGAAAAUAAAACGAUGUCUCGUCCUCGCGAUUCCCGACGAGAUCGUAACGACCACGCGAAGAAGAAAGAAAAAAAAUAAGCAGCGGAAAAAACACGAUAGAGGAAAGGAAGACGAGGGAGCAGACGAGGGAGGAAGUGUGGCGAAGCCAGGUGCCGUCGACAUUGUUCUUACGCAACGCUGGCUGGCCGUGAAGCAUCGUCUGGCCGAAUAUGAGGGCGCUAUCUACAUCUUCCGGUCCGGCCCGAUCCUUGAGGGCCACUUUCUCAUAGGUUGGUCUCCUGACACUGCAAGUGGGCAGACACGUAGGCGACACACUCUCCUCGCGACUUCUCUUCGUCGACAUCGACACAUCGCGGUCGUCUCUCCUGCCGUGUCUCGCCACUACGUUAUAAAACGGCGACGCUGUUGUACGGCCGUACCUGCUCUCCUGGCUACAGGUUUCACGUAGGUGUACGCCUACGUGCGCCUCGACCGAAUAUGUAUCUCACCGAGUCCUCGAUCAACAUUAAUAUGCAGAGGAGUUAAAGUCGAGUACUCCUCGGCCUCAAUCGAGCUGCACGCAAACGCAUCUACGAUCUGGUUGGCUGCAGGGAAAUGAAGGAGUCAAGGAUUUGCAUGUUUUAUUGCAUGAAUUAUGGAUAAUUAGUCGUCCUAAUUUCGUUUUAAAGAAACCAAGGGGAGAAUUACCGAAGAUCAUUCUUACGACCGGGAUAUCUAUAUCGUUAAAAUUAAAGGAGGAAUCAUAAUAUCUGGUUCACCGUUUCGAUCUGUAUGAAAGAGGCGUAAAUCUCUGGGCGAGUACGCAUGUAGGCGAAACGCCCUCGCAACUUCACUUUUCCGGGGCGAGCGCCACCGGCAGCGUAGUACGAGGAUCACGAUGACGCUUCCCACACGUACUUUAGCUGUUUGCACGUAGCUACAAGUAUUUCAAAAAUACUCAGUCUGGGAACAAAACACAACAUACACCUACGUCGGUUCUAAACAGCGAUUUCAGCAAUUUUCUUCGGUCGUCAAAAAAUAUAAUGAAAUAUAAAUGGCCGGACGUGACUCGAAUUAAAAGGAAUUACGCAAUUCAGGCUUGAAUACCCACAUGGCUAAAAUUAGAUGUCACUAUAGAAUUUGCAGGAUUGGUGAAAAAAACAGAGACCGCGCCUUUAUCGGCAAUCGAGCCCAGACUUUCAUGUUUCUAUGUAUUCAAUGGUAUUUCCAAUCACACCAUUACUGCAACAGAAUUUUAUAUGACUUUUGUCGCCACAUAAACUUGCUUAAUAGAAUUUAGAUAUGUCAUAGAACGAAACUAACG